AGUGAACGCUGGCGGUAGACCUAACACAUGCAAGUCGAACGGCAGCACAGUAAGAGCUUGCUCUUACGGGUGGCGAGUGGCGGACGGGUGAGGAAUACAUCGGAAUCUACUUUUUCGUGGGGGAUAACGUAGGGAAACUUACGCUAACACCGCAUACGACCUACGGGUGAAAGCAGGGGAUCUUCGGACCUUGCGCGAUUGAAUGAGCCGAUGUCGGAUUAGCUAGUUGGCGGGGUAAAGGCCCACCAAGGCGACGAUCCGUAGCUGGUCUGAGAGGAUGGUCGGCCACACUGGAACUGAGACACGGUCCAGACUCCUGCGGGAGGCAGCAGUGGGGAAUAUUGGACAAUGGGCGCAAGCCUGAUCCAGCCAUACCGCGUGGGAGAAGAAGGCCUUCGGGUUGUAAAGCCCUUUUGUUGGGAAAGAAAAGCAGCAGGUUAAUACCCAGCUGUUCUGACGGUACCCAAAGAAUAAGCACCGGCUAACUUCGUG
rnacentral:rRNA from 1 species